rnacentral:rRNA from 1 species
AUUGAACGCUGGCGGCAGGCCUAACACAUGCAAGUCGAGCGGUAACAGGGGUAGCUUGCUACCCGCUGACGAGCGGCGGACGGGUGAGUAAUGCAUAGGAAUCUGCCCGAUAGUGGGGGAUAACCUGGGGAAACCCAGGCUAAUACCGCAUACGUCCUACGGGAGAAAGGGGGCUYCGGCUCCCGCUAUUGGAUGAGCCUAUGUCGGAUUAGCUAGUUGGUGAGGUAAAGGCUCACCAAGGCGACGAUCCGUAGCUGGUCUGAGAGGAUGAUCAGCCACAUCGGGACUGAGACACGGCCCGAACUCCUACGGGAGGCAGCAGUGGGGAAUAUUGGACAAUGGGCGAAAGCCUGAUCCAGCCAUGCCGCGUGUGUGAAGAAGGCCCUCGGGUUGUAAAGCACUUUCAGCGAGGAAGAACGCCUAGUGGUUAAUACCCAUUAGGAAAGAC